CGCCUCCACGGCGUGCUGCAGGAUGGAGGUGAACUUGGAGAACAUCCUGUCCCGCGACUGCAGCAGCCGCUGCCGGGACGCCCGCGAGAGCUCCUCGAUCCGCCGCCGCCGCUCCAGGAAUACUGAUGGUACGCAUCCUCCUCCCUUUGAACAAGACCAAGGGAGCUUUACUUCACUUCCAAGCCCAAUACUUCAGAGAAAAAAGACCACCCUUCCCAUUUUCCCUUGCUGCAGGAAAAGCAGAGGCCUGGAGAGAUGCAGUCCAAGUACUGUAUAAAUACUAUUUGUACGUGAACACCUUUGCUGAAGUGGCUAAGGACCAGAGCUAGCUAUUUCCUUCUCAAAACCUAUAUAUAUCACAUAACAUAAUUUUAGAAGGUAAUUAUGUUUUUUAAACAAUUUUGCUUAUUGUGGGUUUGUCAAGUUAUAUUCUGUAGAUACUCUUAGGAAAUAUAAAUUUUCUAUGUGAGUAGUCAUAUGAUGAAAUGUCUGUCCUAUCUCUGUGUUUAGGUAAUUAGCAACUAGAUGUGUGUUGCAUUAGGAAGGUUUUUAUACUGUACGAUAUAAGAUAAAAAGUUUCCUUAGAUUUUUUAAGAAUACUCUAGGAGGCAAACCUAGAUGCAUUUAAGUGGUAUUUGCUAUGGUUUUGCAAUACACACUGAUUAUGCCUAAUAUUUAUUAUUACUAAUUUUAUUAUAUAUAUGUAUUAGCAUUUUCAUACUGUAAGUACGGUUCAGAGGAUACAUCCACCCUGCUUAUGUGGUUUAUAUUGCAGGAUUAAGCUCUGCUUUCAUUAAAGAAAAUAGAUGAUGAGUUGUAGGUUUGAAUGCAAAUAUGUUGUCAGAAAGUGGACUGAGUAGUGGUAUAGCUUUUCUCCCAUAUAUGUGGGGAUGUUUACCAUGUUACUGGUGACCCUC